UGAAUACUCCCUCCGUACGGAAAUACUUGUCAUCAAAAUGGAUAAAAGGGGAUGUAUCUAGAUGUAUUUUAGUUCUAGAUACAUCUCUUUUUAUCCAUUUUGAUGACGAGUAUUUCCGGACGGAGGGAGUAUAAC
rnacentral:pre_miRNA from 1 species